GAAGCAACGCGAAGAACCUUACCAGGUCUUGACAUCCUCUGACACUCCUAGAGAUAGGACGUUCCCCUUCGGGGGACAGAGUGACAGGUGGUGCAUGGUUGUCGUCAGCUCGUGUCGUGAGAUGUUGGGUUAAGUCCCGCAACGAGCGCAACCCUUGAUCUUAGUUGCCAGCAUUCAGUUGGGCACUCUAAGGUGACUGCCGGUGACAAACCGGAGGAAGGUGGGGAUGACGUCAAAUCAUCAUGCCCCUUAUGACCUGGGCUACACACGUGCUACAAUGGAUGGUACAAAGGGCUGCAAAACCGCGAGGUUAAGCGAAUCCCAUAAAACCAUUCUCAGUUCGGAUUGUAGGCUGCAACUCGCCUACACGAAGCCGGAAUCGCUAGUAAUCGCGGAUCAGCAUGCCGCGGUGAAUACGUUCCCGGGCCUUGUACACACCGCCCGUCACACCACGAGAGUUUGUAACACCCGAAGUCGGUGGGGUAACCGUAAGGAGCCAGCCGCCUAAGGUGGG
rnacentral:rRNA from 1 species